rnacentral:rRNA from 1 species
ACCUCGGAUCAGGUAGGAAUACCCGCUGAACUUAAGCAUAUCAAUAAGCGGAGGAAAAGAAACCAACAGGGAUUGCCCUAGUAACGGCGAGUGAAGCGGCAACAGCUCAAAUUUGAAAUCUGGCCCUCGGGUCCGAAUUGUAAUUUGUAGAGGAUGCUUUUGGUGAGGUACCUUCCGAGUUCCCUGGAACGGGACGCCAUAGAGGGUGAGAGCCCCGUCUGGUUGGAUACCGAUCCUCUGUAAAGCUCCUUCGACGAGUCGAGUAGUUUGGGAAUGCUGCUCUAAAUGGGAGGUAUAUGUCUUCUAAAGCUAAAUAUUGGCCAGAGACCGAUAGCGCACAAGUAGAGUGAUCGAAAGAUGAAAAGCACUUUGAAAAGAGAGUUAAAAAGUACGUGAAAUUGUUGAAAGGGAAGCGCUCAUGACCAGACUUGGGCUUGGUUGAUCAUCCAGGGUUCUCCCUGGUGCACUCUUCCAGCCCAGGCCAGCAUCAGUUCGCUGUGGGGGAUAAAGGCUUUGGGAAUGUGGCUCCUCCGGGAGUGUUAUAGCCCAUUGUGUAAUACCCUGU